GGUGGCUCAGUGGUAGAGCGCUUGCUUUGCAUGCAUGAGGUCCUGAGUUCGAUUCCUCAGCACCA
rnacentral:tRNA from 1 species